rnacentral:rRNA from 1 species
GACGAACGCUGGCGGCGUGCUUAACACAUGCAAGUCGAACGGAAAGGCCUCUUUCGGGGGGUACUCGAGUGGCGAACGGGUGAGUAACACGUGAGUAACCUGCCCUUGACUGUGGGAUAACUUCAGGAAACUGGGGCUAAUACCGGAUAGGAGCUCCUGCUGCAUGGUGGGGGUUGGAAAGCUUCGGCGGUUGGGGGUGGACUCGCGGCUUAUCAGCUUGUUGGUGGAGUAGUGGCUUACCAAGGCUUUGACUGGUAGCCGGCCUGAGAGGGUGACCGGCCACAAUGAGACUUAGAUACGGCCCAGACUCCUGCCGGAGGCAGAAGUGGGGAAUAUUGCACAAUGGGUGGAAGCCUGAUGCAGCAACGCCGUGUGCGGGAUGACGGCCUUCGAGUUGUGAACCGCUUUCGCUCAUGACGAAGCUUUGUGUGACGGUAGUGGGUAAAGAAGCACCGGCUAACUACGUG